CCUACGGGCGGCUGCAGUGGGGAAUAUUGGACAAUGGGCGAAAGCCUGAUCCAGCCAUGCCGCGUGUGUGAAGAAGGCCUUCGGGUUGUAAAGCACUUUCAGUGGGGAAGAAAGCCUUGGGGCUAAUACCCUCGAGGAAGGACAUCACCCACAGAAGAAGCACCGGCUAACUCCGUGCCAGCAGCCGCGGUAAUACGGAGGGUGCGAGCGUUAAUCGGAAUUACUGGGCGUAAAGCGCGCGUAGGCGGUCUGAUAAGCCGGUUGUGAAAGCCCCGGGCUCAACCUGGGAACGGCAUCCGGAACCGUCAGGCUAGAGUGCAGGAGAGGAAGGUAGAAUUCCCGGUGUAGCGGUGAAAUGCGUAGAGAUCGGGAGGAAUACCAGUGGCGAAGGCGGCCUUCUGGACUGACACUGACGCUGAGGUGCGAAAGCGUGGGUAGCAAACAGGAUUAGAUACCCGUGUAGUC
rnacentral:rRNA from 1 species